rnacentral:rRNA from 1 species
UUGAACGCUGGCGGCAGGCCUAACACAUGCAAGUCGAGCGGUAGCACAGAGAGCUUGCUCUCGGGUGACGAGCGGCGGACGGGUGAGUAAUGUCUGGGAAACUGCCUGAUGGAGGGGGAUAACUACUGGAAACGGUAGCUAAUACCGCAUAAUGUCGCAAGACCAAAGUGGGGGACCUUCGGGCCUCAUGCCAUCAGAUGUGCCCAGAUGGGAUUAGCUAGUAGGUGGGGUAACGGCUCACCUAGGCGACGAUCCCUAGCUGGUCUGAGAGGAUGACCAGCCACACUGGAACUGAGACACGGUCCAGACUCCUACGGGAGGCAGCAGUGGGGAAUAUUGCACAAUGGGCGCAAGCCUGAUGCAGCCAUGCCGCGUGUGUGAAGAAGGCCUUCGGGUUGUAAAGCACUUUCAGCGGGGAGGAAGGCGGUGAGGUUAAUAACCUCAUCGAUUGACGUUACCCGCAGAAGAAGCACCGGCUAACUCCGUGCCAGCAGCCGCGGUAAUACGGAGGGUGCAAGCGUUAAUCGGAAUUACUGGGCGUAAAGCGCACGCAGGCGGUCUGUCAAGUCGGAUGUGAAAUCCCCGGGCUCAACCUGGGAACUGCAUUCGAAACUGGCAGGCUAGAGUCUUGUAGAGGGGGGUAGAAUUCCAGGUGUAGCGGUGAAAUGCGUAGAGAUCUGGAGGAAUACCGGUGGCGAAGGCGGCCCCCUGGACAAAGACUGACGCUCAGGUGCGAAAGCGUGGGGAGCAAACAGGAUUAGAUACCCUGGUAGUCCACGCCGUAAACGAUGUCGAUUUGGAGGUUGUGCCCUUGAGGCGUGGCUUCCGGAGCUAACGCGUUAAAUCGACCGCCUGGGGAGUACGGCCGCAAGGUUAAAACUCAAAUGAAUUGACGGGGGCCCGCACAAGCGGUGGAGCAUGUGGUUUAAUUCGAUGCAACGCGAAGAACCUUACCUGGUCUUGACAUCCACAGAACUUUCCAGAGAUGGAUUGGUGCCUUCGGGAACUGUGAGACAGGUGCUGCAUGGCUGUCGUCAGCUCGUGUUAUGAAAUGUUGGGUUAAGUCCCGCAACGAGCGCAACCCUUAUCCUUUGUUGCCAGCGGUUAGGCCGGGAACUCAAAGGAGACUGCCAGUGAUAAACUGGAGGAAGGUGGGGAUGACGUCAAGUCAUCAUGGCCCUUACGACCAGGGCUACACACGUGCUACAAUGGCAUAUACAAAGAGAAGCGACCUCGCGAGAGCAAGCGGACCUCAUAAAGUAUGUCGUAGUCCGGAUUGGAGUCUGCAACUCGACUCCAUGAAGUCGGAAUCGCUAGUAAUCGUAGAUCAGAAUGCUACGGUGAAUACGUUCCCGGGCCUUGUACACACCGCCCGUCACACCAUGGGAGUGGGUUGCAAAAGAAGUAGGUAGCUUAACCUUCGGGAGGGCGCUUACCACUUUGUGAUUCAUGACUGGGGUG